CCUACGGGAUGCAGCAGUGGGGAAUAUUGGGCAAUGGAGGCAACUCUGACCCAGCAACGCCGCGUGAAUGAUGAAGGUCUUCGGAUUGUAAAGUUCUUUUAUAAGGGAAGAAGGAAGUGAAGGUACCUUAGGAAUAAGCCUCGGCUAACUACGUGCCAUCAGCCGCGGUAAUACGUAGGAGGCAAGCGUUAUCCGGAAUGACUGGGAGUAAAGGGUGCGUAGGUGUUUUGACAAGUUGGUAGCGUAACUCCAGAGCUCAAAUUCGGACAUAAUACCAAAACUGUUGGACUCGAGUGCAGGAGGGGCAACUGGAAUUUCUAGUGUAGCGGUGGAAUGCGUAGAUAUUAGGAAGAACACCGGUGGCGAAGGCGAGUUGCUGGACUGUAACUGACACUGAGGCACGAAAGCGUGGGGAGCAAACAGGAGUAGAUAUCCUUGUAGUC
rnacentral:rRNA from 1 species